ACGGGAGGCAGCAGUGGGGAAUAUUGCACAAUGGGCGCAAGCCUGAUGCAGCCAUGCCGCGUGUAUGAAGAAGGCCUUCGGGUUGUAAAGUACUUUCAGCGGGGAGGAAGGGAGUAAAGUUAAUACCUUUGCUCAUUGACGUUACCCGCAGAAGAAGCACCGGCUAACUCCGUGCCAGCAGCCGCGGUAAUACGGAGGGUGCAAGCGUUAAUCGGAAUUACUGGGCGUAAAGCGCACGCAGGCGGUUUGUUAAGUCAGAUGUGAAAUCCCCGGGCUCAACCUGGGAACUGCAUCUGAUACUGGCAAGCUUGAGUCUCGUAGAGGGGGGUAGAAUUCCAGGUGUAGCGGUGAAAUGCGUAGAGAUCUGGAGGAAUACCGGUGGCGAAGGCGGCCCCCUGGACGAAGACUGACGCUCAGGUGCGAAAGCGUGGGGAGCAAACAGGA
rnacentral:rRNA from 1 species